rnacentral:rRNA from 1 species
CGAGAAAGCCCGCAAGGGUGAGUAAAGCGGCGCACGGGUGCGUAACACGUGGGUAAUCUGCCCUGGAGUCCGGAAUAACUCGCCGAAAGGCGUGCUAAUGCCGGAUAAGACCACGGGAGCUUCGGCUCCUGAGGGAAAAGGUGGCCUCUGUACACAAGCUAUCACUCCAGGAUGAGCCCGCGGCCCAUCAGCUAGUUGGCGGGGUAAUGGCCCACCAAGGCUACGACGGGUAGCUGGUCUGAGAGGACGAUCAGCCACACUGGAACUGAGACACGGUCCAGACUCCUACGGGAGGCAGCAGUGGGGAAUCUUGCGCAAUGGGCGAAAGCCUGACGCAGCAACGCCGCGUGUGUGAUGAAGGUCUUCGGAUCGUAAAGCACUGUCGCGAGGGACG